rnacentral:rRNA from 1 species
CCUACGGUGGGCAGCAGUGAGGAAUAUUGGUCAAUGGACGAGAGUCUGAACCAGCCAAGUAGCGUGAAGGAUGACUGCCCUACGGGUUGUAAACUUCUUUUAUAAAGGAAUAAAAUGAGGCACGUGUGCCUUUUUGCAUGUACUUUAUGAAUAAGGAUCGGCUAACUCCGUGCCAGCAGCCGCGGUAAUACGGAGGAUCCGAGCGUUAUCCGGAUUUAUUGGGUUUAAAGGGAGCGUAGAUGGGUUGUUAAGUCAGUUGUGAAAGUUUGCGGCUCAACCGUAAAAUUGCAAUUGAUACUGGCAGUCUUGAGUACAGUUGAGGUAGGCGGAAUUCGUGGUGUAGCGGUGAAAUGCUUAGAUAUCACGAAGAACCCCGAUUGCGAAGGCAGCUUACUAAACUGCGACUGACAUUGAUGCUCGAAAGUGUGGGUAUCAAACAGGAUUAGAUACCCCUGUAGUC